rnacentral:tRNA from 1 species
GGUUUUAUAUUCAACUAUGAUUCUAGACUGCAAUUCUAGAGGUGUAAAAUUAUUACUAAGGCCU